GGAAGUUGACGGGGACCCGCACAAGCAGCGGAGCGUGUGGUUUAAUUCGUUGCUACACGAAGAACCUUACCUGGGUUUGACAUAUAGGUUGUAGGGAACUGAAAAGGGACGACCCUUCGGGGAGCCUAUACAGGUGUUGCAUGGCUGUCGUCAGCUCGUGUCGUGAGAUGUUCGGUUAAGUCCGCUAACGAGCGCAACCCUCGUCGUAUGUUAUAUGUGUCAUACGAGACUGCCGGUAAAAGCCGGAGGAAGGUGAGGAUGAUGUCAAGUCAGCAUGACCUUUAUAUCCAGGGCUACACACACGCUACAAUGGUCUGUACAAUGGGUAGCCAAGCCGCGAGGCGGAGCCAAUCCUGAAAGCAGGCCUCAGUUCAGAUUGCAGUCUGCAACUCGACUGCAUGAAGCCGGAGUUGCUAGUAACCGCAGGUCAGCAAUACUGCGGUGAAUACGUUCCCGGGUCUU
rnacentral:rRNA from 1 species